rnacentral:rRNA from 1 species
UGAGGAAUAUUGGUCAAUGGGCGAGAGCCUGAACCAGCCAAGUAGCGUGCAGGAUGACGGCCCUAUGGGUUGUAAACUGCUUUUAUGCGGGGAUAAAGUGCGCGACGUGUCGUGCAUUGCAGGUACCGCAUGAAUAAGGACCGGCUAAUUCCGUGCCAGCAGCCGCGGUAAUACGGAAGGUCCGGGCGUUAUCCGGAUUUAUUGGGUUUAAAGGGAGCGUAGGCCGCCAGAUAAGCGUGUUGUGAAAUGUACCGGGUCAACCGGUGAAUUGCAGCGCGAACAGUUUGGCUUGAGUGCACGGUAAGCAGGCGGAAUUCAUGGUGUAGCGGUGAAAUGCUUAGAUAUCAUGAAGAACUCCGAUUGCGAAGACAGCUUGCAGCAGUGCGACUGACGCUGAUGCUCGAAGGUGCGGGUAUCAAACAGG